GACGAACGCUGGCGGCGUGCUUAACACAUGCAAGUCGAACGGGAUGAUUUAGAAGCUUGCUUUUAGAGAAUCUAGUGGCAAACGGGUGAGUAACACGUAGGCAACCUGCCGACAGGAUGGGGACAACAUUCCGAAAGGAAUGCUAAUACCGAAUGAAGCGCAGGAGAGGCAUCUCUCCUGCGUGAAAGAUGGCCUCUAUUUAUAAGCUAUCACCUGUCGAUGGGCCUGCGUCUGAUUAGCUGGUUGGUGAGGUAACGGCUCACCAAGGCGACGAUCAGUAGCCGGUCUGAGAGGAUGAACGGCCACAUUGGGACUGAGACACGGCCCAGACUCCUACGGGAGGCAGCAGUGGGGAAUCUUCCGCAAUGGGCGCAAGCCUGACGGAGCAACGCCGCGUGAGUGAAGAAGGUCUUCGGAUCGUAAAGCUCUGUUGAUGGGGACGAACGUGCGAAGGGUGAAUAAACCUUUGUAAUGACGGUACCUGUCGAGGAAGCCACGGCUAACUACGUG
rnacentral:rRNA from 1 species